rnacentral:lncRNA from 1 species
AGCAGCCGAUCCGGCGCCGGAAGGCCGCGCAGCAGUACAGGGGCGUCCGGCGCCGCCCGUGGGGCAAGUGGGCCGCCGAGAUCCGCGACCCCGUCAAGGGCGUCCGCGUCUGGCUCGGCACCUUCCCCUCCGCCGAGGCCGCCGCGCUCGCCUACGACCACGCCGCGCUCGACGUCCGCGGACCCAGGGCCAAGCUCAACUUCCCCUCCUCCUCCGCCGCCGCCGCUGGGGCCCCAGCCAGCCGCAAGCGCGCCCGCGCCUCCGACGCCGCCUUCAUCGACCUCGUCGACCAAGAGGAACAAGAGCAGCUCACGGCGGCGGCGACGACGGCCUUGAAGCACGAGGCCGCCGAAGAAGCAGCCGGCGAGAGCUCCGGUGCACUCCCGGACUUCUCGUGGCAGGGCGUGCUGUCGGCGUACGACGAGUCCCCCGCCGUCGACGUGGAGGCCGGCCAGAGCGGCGAUAAGAAGCGGCCGA